rnacentral:ncRNA from 1 species
UAUUAACUGCCACCGGGUAGCAUUUGUUUGUGUAUCGUUAGGUCAUUGAAGAUAUGCAAUGCGAAUGCUCUAUUUU